CUUAUAUAGCCAUAGGAAUAGUACAAUUAUAUCAACAUCAUAAACAGGGGGAAUUAAUCCAUGGCGAUCCGGCCAUGGGGGACUAGCAGUACAGUACAGAGGAUUUGCAUGGAUGGAUCGGAUCAAGAAGAAGGUGAGGCAGAGACGAGGAAUUUAAUUUAGAUCUUGCCGCGUGGGCCGGGCGUCGGCGGCAGCUGCGGGCCCUUCUUGAUCGGAAGCAGGUCUGGCGACGCCGACGCGCUGACGUAGGCCACCAGCGAUCCGCCGCCGAGCAGCAGGAACUUGAGCAGGAGCCCCCUCUUGGUGAAGGGCCCCGCGAACGUCUCGAAGAACUUGCUCUGGAGAGG
rnacentral:misc_RNA from 1 species